GACGAACGCUGGCGGCGUGCUUAACACAUGCAAGUCGAACGAAGAGCGAUGGAAGCUUGCUUCUAUCAAUCUUAGUGGCGCACGGGUGAGUAACGCGUAAUCAACCUGCCCUUCAGAGGGGGACAACAGUUGGAAACGACUGCUAAUACCGCAUACGAUCUAAUCUCGGCAUCGAGGAUAGAUGAACGGUGGCCUCUACAUGUAAGCUAUCACUGGAGGAGGGGAUUGCGUCUGAUUAGCUAGUUGGAGGGGUAACGGCCCACCAAGGCGAUGAUCAGUAGCCGGACUGAGAGGAUGAACGGCCACAUUGGGACUGGGACACGGCCCAGACUCCUACGGGAGGCAGCAGUGGGGAAUCUUCCGCAAUGGACGAAAGUCUGACGGAGCAACGCCGCGUGAGUGAUGACGGCCUUCGGGUUGUAAAGCUCUGUUAAUCGGGACGAAAGGCCUUCUUGCGAACAGUUAGAAGGAUUGACGGUACCGGAAUAGAAAGCCACGGCUAACUACGUG
rnacentral:rRNA from 1 species